rnacentral:rRNA from 1 species
ACGCUGGCGGCGCGCCUAACACAUGCAAGUCGAACGGUUAAAGCACCUUUUAGGUGUGUAUAAAGUGGCGAACGGCUGAGUAACACGUGGGCAACCUGCCCUCCUCUUGGGGAUAGCCUCGGGAAACCGAGGAUAAUACCCGAUACUUCAAUGUGGCCGCAUGACGACAUUGAGAAAGCUUUUGCGGAGAAGGAUGGCCCGCGGCCUGUUAGCUUGUUGGUGGGGUAGAGGCCUACCAAGGCAAUGAUGGGUAGCUGGGUUGAGAGACCGACCAGCCAGAUUGGGACUGAGACACGGCCCAGACUCCUACGGGAGGCAGCAGUGGGGAAUCUUGCACAAUGGGCGAAAGCCUGAUGCAGCGACGCCGCGUGCGGGACGAAGGCCUUCGGGUUGUAAACCGCUUUCAGCAGGGACGAGGCGUAAGUGACGGUACCUGCAGAAGAAGCCCCGGCUAACUACGUGCCAGCAGCCGCGGUAAUACGUAGGGGGCAAGCGUUAUCCGGAUUCAUUGGGCGUAAAGCGCUCGUAGGCGGUCUGUUAGGUCGGGAGUUAAAUCCGGAGGCUCAACCUCCGCCCGCCCCCGAUACCGGCAGACUUGAGUUUGGUAGGGGAAGGUGGAAUUCCUAGUGUAGCGGUGGAAUGCGCAGAUAUUAGGAAGAACACCAGUGGCGAAGGCGGCCUUCUGGGCCAUAACUGACGCUGAGGAGCGAAAGCUAGGGGAGCAAACAGGAUUAGAUACCCUGGUAGUCCUAGCUGUAAACGAUGGACACUAGGUGUGGGAGAAUACGUCUUCCGUGCCGCAGCUAACGCAUUAAGUGUCCCGCCUGGGGAGUACGGCCGCAAGGCUAAAACUCAAAGGAAUUGACGGGGACCCGCACAAGCAGCGGAGCAUGUGGUUUAAUUCGAAGC